ACGCGCCCCUCUCUUUUGCUCAAGCAGACGGCCGGCUGCGAUACUCACGUCCAUUCUCACACGCCCGACCGCCCUCCGUUCAACCGACGACGCCGCCGUCGUUGUGUCUGUCCAAUCGCCAUUGUCGCCAAAGAAUAGUGGAGGUUGAGCAGUUUCCCUGAUUCAGAAGAAAUCUCCUUCUCUAAAGAAGCUUGCGGCCUCGAAGCAUCUGGAAAUUGAUCUUAGAAGACAGGAGUUGGUCUCGUGGCUAGGGCUUUAACCGUUCGGAAUAGAAAGUCUCGGUCAACGAAGUGGAGUGGGCUGAAAGCAGCAGAGGAAAAAAUUUCUUUCAAGAGAACCUGGAUCCUUUGGUUCGGGAAAAGCUGCUUCACGCUCUUGCCUCGGUUACUUUGCAAGCUUGCUUCUCAGCUUGCUUUGCUCUAAGUUGACCUCUUACCUUUGAAAAAGGUCAGACCUAUUCUGAAGAAAGGAUAUUUCACCUUCGUUUACAAUUGUAUUUGAGAAAGAAAGUCCAGUGAUUCAGGCACUGUCGUCGUCUACAAGGCAACACUCCAAAAAAGUUAGGGUUGUUUACAUUUCAAGCUACUUGGUGAAGAUUUUCCUUAAGAUAAGAACAAAGACUCUUCUUCUUCUUUCUUUCUUCUACAUCAUUUUCCAACUCCAGUUGCUUUUGGAUUUCGCUUUGGGAUAGCUCAUUUUAGAUAGGGCUAUUGAAAAAUGAAAGGAGAAAAACCAAACCCAAGCUUAUGGAAAAAAAAAUUCCUAUCUCUCCAUUUUUAUUUGAGUCCAAAAGGAAACCAGAGCAUUGAUUGCUUAGGGUGAAAAUGAAAGGAACAAGUUUACAUUCCUUUGUCUAUUGCAACACACUCUCCUCUCUCCCUCACUCAUUUUCUCAGUGUUGCUAUUCUGGGAAUUGUGUUUGUAAAGAAAUAGGUGAUCCGUUGCAAUGUGGGAAAUUAUAUGUUGAAAUUUGAGAUACUUUAGUAUUUCAAGCUUCUUCAGGUAUUCCCCAGAGAAAAUAUGGUACAUUGAUCAAAUGCUGAAGGUUCUCUCUGUGUUUAAUAUCGCGAAUCUGACUAUUGGAUGCCAGAAGAAGCUAGAAAUUGAUGAUGACCAGAAACUGUAGUGGAAGCUCUAUUUUUCAUGUGUUUUAAAAAAGAUAUACGCUUUGUGAAGCAUACACCCCUUUUCAACAUGUCAGGGUUGUCUUGAUCUUUCUUCCAUUUGACAGGUGGGAGGAACUUUGAAGUAAUUGGUUUCAUUACUUCCUUGGUUAACUGAACUGUGCAGUUUGAUGUGAGUUUGACCCGAACAGCUGACUGCGAGUUUGACGUGAACGACUCAGCAAGCUCCUAACUACAGUAAGCUUGAGGUGAGGAUCACGUGGAGCAAAUGGCAUUACAUUAGAUAAGAACAGUUUUAAAAUCUCAGGAAAAUGGUUACUGUUAGUUUACAAACAGUAUGCCUUUAGAGUUUCAUUGAUCUUAAAGAAGUUAUUUUUUGAACAAAACGCAAGGGAAAAAGCUCAUAUGGUUUUAUCCUUAUAAAACAUCUUUAGUAAUUUAUAUUUUGUCUCAUUUAGAUUUCUCUCUCAUUUUGUGCAUUACACCAAAACUGAAAAGAGAAACUGUGGGCUGGGUGGUUUUUUAGUUACUAGUGAGUGGCACGGGUACUGUAACAACAACAUAAUAAUUGGAUCGUUUUCAUUUUUACUUCCAUUUUGGAUGAUGAAUGCUUUUGGUUUGAAAUCCAAUCUAGCUACCGGGUUAUCUUCCUAUUUGAUAGACUUGAACGUUCAAGCUUACAACAUAUAAGGGUGGAACAUCCUCCCCUUGCAUAUAUGCAGUUCCAACUUAACCAUGAACAUAUUUUUCUCUUUUAUCUCUGUUAAGUAUUUACAUCUUUUUAAAUGGAUUACACUAACUCUAUGCCCUUAAAACAAAACAAGACCAUGGUUAAACCGUUUGGCUGUGUACUCUCCUGUCUUCAUUUUAUUUUUAGCUCUUUUGAAAUCACAUUUUAUUUGCGUUUGUUUUCCUCGUAUCAAUAUUUUGUUGAACAUUUGUAGAUCUUGUCAUUGCAAAUAUGAAUUCCUCGAGUACUUUUUAUUCUCCUAGAUA